UACGUAGGGAGCAAGCGUUGUCCGGAUUUACUGGGUGUAAAGGGUGCGUAGGCGGCUCUGCAAGUCAGGCGUGAAAUACAUGGGCUUAACCCAUGGACUGCGUUUGAAACUGUGGAGCUUGAGUGGAGUAGAGGUAGGCGGAAUUCCCGGUGUAGCGGUGAAAUGCGUAGAGAUCGGGAGGAACACCAGUGGCGAAGGCGGCCUACUGGGCUUUAACUGACGCUGAGGCACGAAAGCAUGGGUAGCAAACAGG
rnacentral:rRNA from 1 species